rnacentral:tRNA from 1 species
GGGCCGCUAGCUCAAUGGUAGAGCAACUCCCUCUUAAGGAGUAGGUUGAAGGUUCAAACCCCUCGCGGCUCACCA